UUUCACACUAGCACUUAGUGUCGAAGGACGUCAAAGUUCUGUUCAUUUGGAUAACGUGAACGCUGUUUUCCAAACUUGGGUGCGCACCCGUGUAGGGUUGCACCAGCUGUGUGUAAGUUCUCACUGAGCGACGCACCCUGCAAACUGCACCGUUAAAACGGUUUCAUGCAGAAGAGCCGCUUAAAAUUUGCUAUAGCACUUGCUGCUGUGAAGAAGUGAAGAUUUCCAGAUGACAACAAGACACUGCCUACUAUGUCAUAAGAGCCUCAGUCAGCAAUAUUUUACAGAGUUUUCACUGCUAUCUCAAGAGCAAGACGAGAUCUUUCAAAUAACAAUCAUGACAACCUACUUUCUUCAACUAGAUGCCUUUUCCGCCGUCAGGUUCAGCGACUUCAUGGACCACCGGGGAGGCGAGAAAACGCUGUCUGGCACACCCACCUUUUCCUCCUUCCUGGUCCAGAUGUUGAGGUUUUACCCUCAACACCAGAACUUGAACGGUUUGCAAACUUGGGAUUAGGUAGACCAGUGCAGGAAUCAUCAGGGACAGGAAUCCAAAGAUAAAUUCAGCUAAAUUGGACUUUAUCUGAAUUAAAUAUUUUUGUCUGCCAAUGCUACCCAGAUGUGAGUUUUAACUUGAUAGGUUUCCAUUUGGCAAGAGCAGGCAAAGGACGCAAGAUACAAAAAGUAAAAAAAAGUUGGCAAAAGCAGGCUCUAUAUUGUCCCACGAGCAGAAGUGUUGCAGGUAAUGACACCAUCCCCUGCCAUGUCCCAGAACUCAUUAUAACCAUCCUACACUGCUGCAGCACUGGAUGUUUCAAAAUCUGUAAAUUUGGAUGAAUGGUGUGUAUUGUGUUCUCAGAAAGAUGAAGAAUAUAAUGCUUCAUUGUUGGCAGACCAAGAAAAGGACAGGAGGCGGCACUGCUAUAAGGUUUUGGAAGAAAGAUGCAAAAAGGUCUUGUUUGACUUUAAUGGACAAGAUGAAAUGGCCAGUGAAGUUUUCAAGGUCCAGGAAGCUGCAUCUUCAAAAGCUAUUGAGAGCACUUCUGCUGGGUCAAUUGCAGAUCCUUGCAUAAAAUCAUCCCCUACUUUAUAUGUCCUUUGGAUGUUAGCUUUGGAUAAUCUGGAAAUACACUCUGACCAGGUAAACAAUGGCACAUCUUUUAUUCACCAUAUGUCUCCUCAUACUGCCCAGCCUCCAGUGACUCUGCCCUCUGCCCAGCCUCCAGUGACUCUGCCCUCUGCCUAGCUACCAUUCAUUAUUUUUGAAAACCAACCACUACUCAGCCCUUCAUCUUCACAGCUACCUGUCACUGACCUUGAUGAGCAGCCACCACUUAGUCCUCCAUCUCCCAAGCAAUCAGUAAUUUACCUUGAAAACCAGCCACCACUUUGUCCUCCAUCUCCCCAGCCAUCAGUCAUUGAUCUUAUUGAUUAAGGGGGGUCUGUUUCCUUCUCUCCAUUCCACCAGGAAUCCCCUCUUCACAGUGAGGCACCUGUAGAUGAUGAUAGAGGAAAGAGACCUCAAAAAGCAGCCAAGACAUGCCAGAGGGGAGAAAGAGUGACAUGAGUGUGUAGUGCGAACUAAGAGUUUAAAGAGUAUGACUGAGAGUUUAUAUUGUUUUCGUUUGAGUGAGCAGCCCCAAGACUAAGAGUGUGCAACGCAACCAAAAAUAAAGACUGACUUGAACUGCUUCGUUGUCUCCCGACUCCUCCUGUGUACGAACAUCAAGACUUAUCACAGGUAGGUUUAGGUUUGUUGUUUGGGUUGUGGGUGAAGGAGAGUUUAUAAAAUGCGCAUUUCUCU